rnacentral:rRNA from 1 species
AAAGGGUGCGUAGGCGGUUUAUUAAGUCAGUGGUGAAAGACGGUCGCUCAACGAUUGCAGUGCCAUUGAUACUGGUAGACUUGAGUGAGAUUGAGGUAGCUGGAAUGGAUAGUGUAGCGGUGAAAUGCAUAGAUAUUAUCCAGAACACCAAUUGCGUAGGCAAGUUACUAAGUCUCAACUGACGCUGAGGCACGAAAGUGUGGGUAUCAAACAGGAUUAGAUACCCUGGU